CCAAUACAGACAAGAAGUGAAGGAAGGUUUGUUUGCUCCUAAACUGACUCUCUCACAUCCAGAAAUACCAUAGAGGUAAAUAUAGAUCUUCCAUCCAUGCAGGAACGCUGAAGGUCAGCUGCCCAUAGAUCUCAGGACUUGCUGAAACACAAGAAAACCAAGUUCCCCUUCUUGAUAGUCACUGGCAGGAGUUACAGUUCUGGGCUUUAGCUUAUUUGCUGAAAAGUCAAAGGUGCCCUUGGAAUUGUCAUUUCAUUUCAGCUGACACUUCUGGGAAGGAGAGUGAAAACUUCAGGGAAAGGAGCCAGGUCCUCAGCUGACACAAGAACUCAAGCUUCAGUCCUGCUUGUACUUCAGCAGCCUUAGUUUAAUCCUGCAGAAAUAAUCCUUUGGAGAAGGUGCAACAAUCCCAGUAUCUUGCUUCGUCAAAGAUAUAAAGCCAGAGAAUCUUUAAGGCUAAAAAGAUCUUUUAAAUCAUUGAACCCAUCCAUUAAACCAGAACUGCGAUGUUCACUAAAAAAAACCAUGUCUCUAAAUGCCACAAAUGCUCAUAUUUUAGAUGCCAACCAUUAUGAAAGUACAAUGCCUGAGAAGUCCAAAUGGAUUAUCCAGCAUGAAGGCAAGAGCCACUUAGGGGAACAGGAAUAUGGCAUGGAGAAGAGUAACAAACCCUGCUCGGAUGAACACAGCAUUAACUCAUAAAAGGAGGAAAGAGGGAAUCUGUUGUUGAUUGAGAGGAGCAUAAACGAGACUAAUAAUCACCUUUGUUUCAAUGUCACUGCUUUUGUUUUGAGACUUGUGCAGCCUCAUCCGUCUACAGCAUCAAUAUUUCAUAAAGAUUGCCAGUUUGGAACUAUUGCUGUCAUUCAUGUGCAUGUUAUAUCCUUCCACUCCUGUCGAUCUAUCUGCAGGAUCAGGACCUUAAUUUAC